ACAGUUCUAUCUCAUUUUGGUGGAUGCGCUGCAUCUACCGAACACGAAAUUCAAAUUAUCACUCGUCAUUCUACCACUCCCGUAAAAUGUCAAUCUAUAACGUCAAUCGCUCGGAAACUUCAGCGAGAACCCGUUCGAAAUUUACAGUCACUUAUGAACCCCUCCGAUGGCUUUCCUGAGAUGUCAACAUUGUGCUUUGAAAUGUGGCACUCACUACGUUCCUUACGAUGUCUUGAGACUCCUCAAGAUGGGCUACAGAAAGCUGGAGUACUCACGCUCUAAGUCUUUACUCAAGAAAUUCCUUACUGAAGAAUUGCUAGAACAUCUUAAGUUCAAGAGAACUUCAAAUGAUAUCAAUUUGUAUGAUUGCAUCAAAUGUGGACUAGAAUACCACGACGCCAAAAUAGGAAUAUACGCAAGUGAUCCAGAAUGCUACUUCGUCUUCUCUCCAAUUUUCUUUCCGAUCCUACAGGAACUUCAUGACUUCAGCUCGACGGACAUCCACCCCAAAAGCGAAUGGAGACCUGUUUCGAGUGUCUCAAAUCUAGAGGCUAAGAGGAGGUACAUCAAAUUGGUGAAGAUACGUGUCGUCAGAAAUUUAAGGGGAUAUCCUUUCUGUCCGGAGAUGAGUCAGAAGGACCUUGAGAAGGUCGAGGAGUUUCUGGUCAUGAUAUUGGCUUUAAUGGCAGGAGACUUCGACGGACAAUACGAGAAGGUCUCCGAGAUGACGGAAAAUAGAAAAAAACAGCUCAAGGAGAAAUUCAUUCUCUUCGACAAUAAGGACAAGUACUUAGAAGCUGGAGGUGCUUACAGGCAAUGGCCACACGGCAGAGGAAUUUAUAUGAAUGCCGACGAGGAUUUCAUCGUGCAGAUCAAUCCACGUGAUCAUCUGAAAGUAAUAUCCAUGGAACAUGGCGGAAAUAUCAGGAGGACGUACGAGAGAAUAAUGACGGCGAUGCUGAAGCUACAGCGAGAUCUGAAUUUCAUCAAGAGCUCACGGAUGGGAUAUGUGACUUUUUGUCCCUCCGACAUGGAUCUAUAAUACGUGGAAUGGAGAAGCAUUUACCUCCAAAUUAUAAUCCAGCGGAUUAUCCUCCAGUGAAGAUGAGGAACAAGAGGGAUUCAGCCGAUAUGAGUGAAUCCCAAAGAAAGAGAAGAUCCAAAAACAUGUUGUCAACAAGAAGAAGUACUGGUGUUAGCUACAGUGCCGAAGUUUUAGAUGAAGCACUAGCUAUGGGACCUGAUGGCAAUUAUGGUCAAGUUGCCAACAAGUGAUUUCUUUCAUCAAACCUACGAAUCGACAAUUUUUCUUCAUUUUUUUAACAGUUAACAUAGCGUAGUGGACAAUGGACAUGUUUGACUUAUUAUCGUCAAAUGAACAUUCAAAUUUAUAGAGACUUUGAAACAUUGUAAAACUUGUACAUACCCAAUAUUCUUCAAUAACUUGACGAAGGUUCAAAUUCUGUUAUAAAGUAAUAUAGUGUUAAUUUUAAUGUAAGUAACAAGCCAUAUCCAAUAUUCAAUAAUCUGUGAUACUUCCGUUUUCAUUGUGAUUUACGGAAAUUAAUAAAUAACUAGUCGAACUGAAAAACA